rnacentral:lncRNA from 1 species
CAUGGAGUGCAGGUGGGUUGGAGCACAGAUGAAGCCCCGGUCCAACCUGGGCAUUCCUGCAGCCAUGUGCAGUGACCCUUGUGUAUGUGAGUACCUGUCAUGUGCCCACGUAUCCUGGUGGCACAAAAGGUACUUCAUGUAGAUUGUCAGGACCAAGACACAGAACGUUCUUGGGGCACACCACAAUAAUUCCCCCACUAGCAUUCACCUUAAGAUGAAAGAGUUUUUUUCUAGUUGAUGUGGAUUCCCCAGAUUUAUCUCAUUUCAUGAUGUCUUCGGAAUUGCAUGUUGUGCCACCAUCACACUUCACACUCUCAGUAAGGAGCUCUCAGUUGUCUCACCUGUUAUUGCUCCUCUUUAUUGUAAACGAUGUCCUAUAAAGAAGAUAUAUGUCUACAAUUGAGCUUUGAAGGAGGACCAUGGAGCCAGUUCCUUUUAAGGGGAAUGAAGUCAAGCAGUAAAUUUGCUGGUCACUCUUUUCAUAUGGACCGCAUCUCAGCCAGCAGUUGGUCUUUGAUGUUGUAACAAUGGCACUGGGACCUGAGGCAGAGGAGCACCCCCAUAAUACUGAAACCAGCCUGCAUUCAUUCUAAUUUGGAGAACAAUCUGUGGGAUAGUACGCACAUCAGGGAGCCCAGAGAGUGAACUCCAG